rnacentral:rRNA from 1 species
GGAGGUCUUGCCUGCCCAGUGACUAAGUUAAACGGCCGCGGUAUUUUGACCGUGCAAAGGUAGCGCAAUCACUUGUUUUUUAAAUGAAGACCUGUAUGAAUGGUGAAACGAGGGCUUAACUGUCUCCCCUCUCUGAUCAGUGAAAUUGAUCUACCCGUGCAGAAGCGGGUAAAAUAUACAAGACGAGAAGACCCUAUGGAGCUUAAGACACAAGGUUAACUGCGUUAAUAAGCCCUUGUUAAAGGAAAUAAACAAGGCAGUAACUGACUAGCGUCUUCGGUUGGGGCGACCGCGGGGGAAAAAAAAUCCCCACGUGGAACUAGAUAUUUUUCUAAACCACGAGGCACACCUCUAAGUCACAGAACUUCUGACCAAAAGAUCCGGUAUUCAACCGAUCAACGGACCAAGUUACCCUAGGGAUAACAGCGCAAUCCCCUCCAAGAGUCCAUAUCGACAAGGGGGUUUACGACCUCGAUGUUGGAUCAGGACAUCCUAAUGGUGCAGCCGCUAUUG